rnacentral:rRNA from 1 species
GGAGGGUGCGAGCGUUGUCCGGAAUCACUGGGCGUAAAGGGCGCGUAGGCGGCCCGGUAAGUAGGGGGUGAAAUCCUGCGGCUCAACCGCAGAACCGCCUUCUAGACUGCCAGGCUCGAGCACAGUAGAGGCAGACGGAAUUCCCGGUGUAGCGGUGGAAUGCGUAGAGAUCGGGAAGAACACCGGUGGCGAAGGCGGUCUGCUGGGCUGUUGCUGACGCUGAGGCGCGACAGCGUGGGGAGCAAACAGGAUUAGAUACCCUGGUAGUCCACGCCGUAAACGAUGGGUACUAGGCGUCGGGGGGAGCGACCCUCCCGGUGCCGUCGCUAACGCACUAAGUACCCCGCCUGGGGAGUACGGCCGCAAGGCUGAA